rnacentral:rRNA from 1 species
GUCACGAUACGAGGUUUCUCAAUUAGAUGUGGAUAAGGUGAUUGAGACUGCAUGUGCUAUUACGCUUCCAAAUGAUCAGCAAGUCCUUCAUAUUUUGACUCAAGAAUAUGUAAUUGAUGGACAGGAGGACGUAAGACAACCUCUUGGUAUGAGCGGAAUGAAAUUAGAGGUUAAAGUUCAUAUUGUCACGGGCGCGAUUGCAGCCGCCCAAAAUAUUGUCAAAUGUAUCAAGCGUUGUGGACUUGAAGUAUCUGAAUUGGUCCUGCAACCUUUGGCUUCAAGUAUGGCAGUCCUUACCGAUGAUGAAAAAGAAUUAGGUGUGUGUUUGGUUGAUAUUGGUGGAGGUACAACUGAUAUUGCAGUAUUAAGGCAUGGAUCUAUUCGUCACACAGCUGUUAUUCCGAUUGCUGGUGAUCAAAUCAAUAAUGAUAUUGCAGUGGCAUUUAGAACUCCUUUACCCUCAGCUGAAGAAAUAAAAAUCAAACAUGGUUAUGCUGCAAGAAGUUUAGCUUCAGCCUCAGAACAAAUUGAAAUUCCUGUAGUAGAUGGUAAGGAGUCAAAAACUAUUUCAACACUCUCAUUGGCAGAGGUUAUUGAAGCAAGAUUGAUGGAGCUUUAUGAGCUUGUUGCAAGUGAGUUGAAACGAAGUGGCAUGGAAGAUAUGAUAGCUUCUGGUAUUGUGAUUACAGGCGGAUCAUCCUUAAUGAAAGGUAUGGUUAAUCUCGGUGAGAGUGUAUUUAGAAUGCCAGUUAGAAUAGGCACACCAAGAAAUGUAGGGGGCUUAUCUGAGGUUGUCGAUAAUCCUAGAUACUCUACAGGUAUUGGAUUAUUGCUUAUGGGUAAAGGGCAAUUAGAAAAAGAAAUGAUGAGUCAAAUUGAUGGCAAUUCAAUAAACCAAAUCUUCAUGAAAAUGAAAAAUUGGUUUCAAGGUAACUUUUAAUUCUUGGAGAUAGGAUAUGUUUGAAGUUGUUGAUAGCAAAUCACAAAAUGCCAUCAUAAAAGUCACUGCCGAGAAAAGACAUCGGGCAUACUAAGGUGCCCGUACCGUAAACCGACACAGGUGGAUGGGUCGAAUAGACCAAGGUGCGCGAGUGAACCCUCUUCAAGGAACUCGGCAAUCUAACCCCGUAACUUCGGAAGAAGGGGUGCCCGUCGCAAGACGGGUCGCAGAGAAAUGGGCCUACCGACUGUUUAGCAAAAACACAGCACUCUGCUAAGUCGUGAAGACGACGUAUAGGGUGUGACACGUGACCAAUGCCGAAAGAUUACGGUGAGAGGUCAGCCGCAAGGCGAAGCUUUGAACCCAAGUCCCGGUGAAUGUCGGCCGUAACUAUAACGGUCCUAAGGUAGCGAAAUUCCUUGUCGGGUAAGUUCCGACCUGCACGAAUCGUGUAACGAGUGGGCCGCUGUCUCGAAGAGGCGCUCGGCGAAGUUGUAGUGGCGGUGAAGAUGCCGCCUACCCGCAGUAGGACGGAAAGACCCCGUGCACCUUUACUGUAAGCUGUCGCUGGAUUUUCGUUCGGAAUACUUAGCGUAAGUGGGAGACGUUGAUCCUUGGGUUUCGGCCUAAGGGGAGUCGCCAAUGAAACACCACCUUUUCUUCAUGAAGAUUCUAACCCUUGCCCGUCAUCCGGGUGGGGGACCACGGCAGCGGGUCAGUUUGACUGGGGCGGUUUCCUCCUAAAGAGUAACGGAGGAGUGCUAUGGUUCUCUCAGCAUGGUUGGUAAUCAUGCGUCGAGCGUAUGGGUACAUGAGAGCCUGACUGCGAGACCUACAAGUCGAGCAGGGACGAAAGUCGGCCCAAGUGAUCCGGUGGUUGAAUGUGGAAUCGCCAUCGCUCAUCGGACAAAAGGUACGCCGGGGAUAACAGGCUGAUCGCGCCCAAGAGUUCAUAUCGACGGCGCGGUUUGGCACCUCGAUGUCGGCUCAUCGCAUCCUGGGGCUGGAGAAGGUCCCAAGGGUCCGGCUGUUCGCCGGUUAAAGCGGUACGCGAGCUGGGUUCAGAACGUCGUGAGACAGUUCGGUCCUUAUCCACUGUGGGCGCAGGAAAUGUGACGGGUUCAUUCCCUAGUACGAGAGGACCGGGAAUGACGCACCUCUGGUGUUCCGGUUGUCGCGUCCGCGGCAGCGCCGGGUAGCUAUGUGCGGAAGGGAUAAGCGCUGAAAGCAUCUAAGCGCCAAGCCCAUCCGAAGAUGACAUUUCCCCAUUAGGGACGUGGUAGAUAAUCACGUUGAUAGGUCGCAAGUGGAAGCACGGCAACGUGUUCAGCUAAGCGAUACUAAUUUCCCAAUUGGCUUGAUCUC